rnacentral:rRNA from 1 species
GACGAACGCUGGCGGCGUGCCUAAUACAUGCAAGUUGAGCGCUGAAAGUUGAUACUUGUACCUACUGGAUGCGCAGCGCACGGGUGAGUAACGCGUGGGGAAUCUGCCUUUGAGCGGGGGACAACAUUUGGAAAAGAAUGCUAAUAACGCAUUAACACUUUAAACCCAAGGUUUAAGAUUGAAAGAUCCCAUUGCAUCACUCAAAGCUGAUCCCGCGUUGUUUUAGGUAGGUGGUGAGGGAAAGGGUCACCACGGCGAAGAUACAUAGCCGGCCUGAGAAGGAGGACGGCCACAACUGGACUGAGACCAGGGCCAAACUCCUACGGGGGGCAGCAGUAGGGAAUUAUUGGAAAUGGGCGGAAAGCUGACCGAACAACGCCGGGGGAGAUAAGAAGGGUUUCGGGUCGGAAAACUCUGUUGGGAGGGAAGAACGUUGGUAAGAGUGGAAAGCUCAUCAAGUGACGUUAACUACCCAGGAAGCGACGGCUAACUACGUG